rnacentral:misc_RNA from 1 species
UUUGACCCUAUAAUAGGAAGUAAGUGGUUUGAGGAACAACGUGUUGGGGAAGUUUCAACUAGAAGUGGCAGAGGGAAGCAUACCACCUGUAAUGUUUCUUUGCUUCCACUAUCUGGAGGAGGGUAUCUUGCUGAUACUCCUGGGUUUAACCAGCCUAGUUUGCUUAAAGUAACAAAGCACUUUCUUGCACUGGCAUUCCCUGAGAUCCGUAAAAUGCUUAGUGCUAGAAGACCUGCUAAAUGUGCAUUCAAUGAUUGCUUACAUCUUGGUGAGCCUGGAUGCAUUGUGAAAGGGGACUGGGAAAGAUAUUCGUUCUAUUUUCAACUUGUUGAUGAGAUCAGAAUCAGGGAGGAAUUU